rnacentral:rRNA from 1 species
AGCGAACGCUGGCGGCAGGCCUAACACAUGCAAGUCGAGCGCCGUAGCAAUACGGAGCGGCAGACGGGAGAGUAACACGUGGGAACGUGCCCUUUGGUUCGGAAUAACUCAGGGAAACUUGAGCUAAUACCGGAUAAGCCCUUACGGGGAAAGAUUUAUUGCCAUUGGAGCGGCCCGCGUCGGAUUAGCUAGUUGGUGAGGUAAUGGCUCUCCAAGGCGACGAUCCGUAGCUGGUCUGAGAGGAUGACCAGCCUCACUGGGACUGAGACACGGCCCAGACUCCUACGGGAGGCAGCAGUGGGGAAUAUUGGACAAUGGGCGCAAGCCUGAUCCAGCCAUGCCGCGUGGAUGAUGAAGGCCCUAGGGUUGUAAAGUCCUUUUAACGGGGAAGAUAAUGACGGUACCCGUAGAAUAAGCCCCGGCUAACUUCGUGCCAGCCGCCGCGGUAACAC